GGCCCAGCAAACACUCAAAUUAAUUAAUAAUAUACUGGAUGUAUAUGGAUAUACAUAUAAAUAUUAAUACAAAGGGGAGAGAUGAGAAUUCACUAAUACUUGAUGGCGGGGUGGAAGAUGAGAGUGCAGCGUUCUUAAGCCACGUCCACACUAGGCAACCCAUGAGGCGACUCGUCCACUGCCUCACGGGGGAGUGUGUCCACACUAUGGGCUGCUUUCACAGUCACUUUUCUUUGUUUACCAAUGGCGGCGAUCGCCGCUAUAGUAUUUCCACGUGAAACUGGCCAAUGGGGUAGUGGCUCCUGCAGAGGAAGCAAGAGGUGUUGAGAGUGUGUGGCAAGGUGCGGGGCUAUGCUAACCCAACAACCGCCACUACCCCAUCGGCCAGUUUCAUGUGGAAUUACUAUAGCGGCGAUCGACGUUCAUUGGUAACGAUCAAAACAAACAAAAGUGACUGUGAAAGCGGCUCUGUUUCCACGGCUGCCUCAUCCUGCCUCGCCAGUCAUAAUGUUUGUUGUUAUAAUGUUGUUCUUCACCUGUCAGAUGCAGGGGUGCUGCUCCAGAAUAUCAAUAAGUUAAAGAGUGUUGUUCCGUGUUCACUCCACGUUGUCAUCAACUUUCUCAGUCAUGAUACUGAGCGGUGCACAACCGAUGUUACCCCGUUCAUGACUCAUGAGUCCAGCCUCAUGCCCAAAAAAUGCCUCUCGCCAGAGUUGCUGGCAGCCGCCUCAUGCACCUCCGUUUUCUUUUGUUUUUCUUUGUCCGGGUGCAUGAGUCGCCUCGUGAGGCCUAGUGUGGAUGUGGCUUUACCUUUCAAAGGCCCAGUAAACACUGAUGCCAAGGACUGAGCGCAGUGUUGCCAAACUAUGGUACUCCGCAUUGCAUUUUUUCGUAGUUUCCGACCGAACAACAGCAAAAAAACAAAGAAACAUCAAUAAAUAACAGCCUUAAUGCUAACUCUAUUAAUUUUCCAUUCUUAUUUGUGUAGGUUACGCAAGUUUGAGUCUUAAGAAUAGUAAAUACAAUGUCCAGUACGACAAUUCGGCACCGCUGGCUGAGCGGGAAGGAGCCGUCCACUUGUUUAUUUACAUACAAGUGUGGUUAAGCAUCGUCACUUAAUUUUCUUCAUGACUUGUUAAUUUAUAUGAAGUAGCAGUAAGUACUACUGUUAUAAGAACAUAAGAACAUAAGAACGUAAGGAGUCUGCAAGAGGCCGGUUGGCCUAUACAAGGCAGCUCCUGUAUACUCAACCCCACCUUACCUCACCAUCCAUGGCUUUAUCUAACCUCUUCUUGAAUGUAUCUAUGGUAUUGGCACCCACAACAUGGCUCUCAAGCCUGUUCCAUUCGUCCACCACUCUAUUGGUGAACCAAUUCUUGCCUAUGUCUUUGUUGAAUCGUGAUCGCCACUCCGUUUACGUUUGCGGAGAGGUUUGGUGAACAAACAUCCGCUUUACUUUGUGUGCCAGUGUACCACUAAAACUUCACUAGCCAGUAAACAAAAACUGAACCUUCACCUUAUAAGACGCAGGGUGAUUUUCUGGGUCUUUUUUCUGGAAAAAAGUGCAUCUUAUAAGCCAUCAAAUACGGUAAGAAGUAAUAAAUCUUCUGAUCAAAAAUAUGCAUCUCAUGCAUCCUUUAAAAGGAACUGUUAGCAAUUACAUUUCUGGGAACCUGCUGUACUAACUUAGCAUAUGAAACACAUUAAACUGCCAAGUUUCAAUCAUGAAAAAUUGUAUAGUCUAAACUGUACCCUUUGUGCAGUUUUAACUACCCAACCUUACAGUAUACAGCAACCAAGAAAUCUUAUUCUGAGUUGUAACUAAAAAUGGCUCUCUAAAUAUUUGUCCUAUCCUGCAUAAUUAACCCCUUCAGCACGAGGAUGCGUAUAUUGCGUCCUUGCAUCCCCCGUACCAUAUCCGAGGACGUACAUACUGCGUCCUGGGUCGCUUUAGCCAAUAUACAAGUUAUUUCAUCUCUAUAUUUAUGCUUACAUCUUGGAUACGGCGUGGGGCGCUGUUUUGGCGCGCCCGUAGUGAAGGGGUUAAAUAGAGAAGGAGACCUCAAGUAGCCAAAUUAUGAUGAUACAGGUAACUCUCGAUUUACGCGAGUAUUGCGUUCUUGGAGAGGUCGCGUAAAUCAAAAACAAUGUAAAUCAAACAAGAGGUAGGUUUAUGUCGAAAAAUAAAUACCGUAUUUUUCAGCGUAUAGCGCACACCUUUUUCUCAAAAAAAUGCCUGAAAGUUUAGCCCUGCGCCUUGUACGCCGAAUGUACAAAUUUUUAAUGAUUUUUUUCUUCUUUGGGAUGUUUUUAGGGGUCUGUUUUUUGUCUUAUCCAAUAACAACGGCAAACUUUCCUUAAUCAUUGUAUAUAAUCCUUUAUAGUCCGUAGCUGUCUUAUAAUAUGUUACCAUAGAAUACAGGGCGAUCUAAUAACUACUAUACAAAAUUGAAAUCGAUGGAGGAUUGCCCAUGCCUUGCUGUUAUUCCGCUUUUCCGUCGGGCGCCAUUUGUAUGAUCUUGAUCUUGAUGUCACAGGUGGCUUGAUUGUAUGACCAAGGAGCAGUACAAGGUACAUAAAAAAUCAUAUUGGAAAAAAAUAUCCAUGUGUUCAUUAUUAAUUAUUAAUAUUAGUGAGAAUAAUGGGGUAAAUAUGAUAUCAGAAACUGUACAUCAUGAGUCUUGUACGAGGAGAUAUUUCGCGCAAUACAGCAGGCCGCCAUUUGCAUUGUUUACAAACCACACAACCACACCCAUACAACAAACAGCUGCAUGGCGCGUGUCACCAGAAACGUGUGAAUUGUGUCUUGCCUAGUUCUCUGUCAUAACCUACGAGUGAUGGUGGGAAUAAUAUGCUUAUUCACUUCAUUCAAGAGAGAGAGAGAGAGAGAGAAUAUCCAUAUCACCGAGAUAUCCACUCAGGCACUCAGUCUCAGCCUCACUCGUGUGAGGAAGAAAUGAGGGACACCAUGAGUGGCUAGCUAGUAUUGGUACCGGUACCGAGCAGUCUGGUACCGGUACUGUACCAUAUAGCUAGUACCGUUAGUACCGGUAACUGCCCACCCCUAUUGUUGAGUAGCGUGGCAGCGUGGGUACUGUAUUGUUGUUCAAGUGGCGCGCGAGAAGAACUGAGCUCUGCUGUGUGGCCGCAGCGCUAUGUGAGUCCAGUUGCGUGAGACAUCUGGUGGCCACUCCAUAAAAUAUCGCGUAUAAGUGGAAAAAACGUGUAAAUAAUUUUUUUUUUUUGGAUUUUGGACCCCGCGUUAUUUAAAAAACGCGUAAACCAAACUCGCGUAAAUCGAGUUACCUAUACUAUGACUGUUUGCCCAGUACACUAUGGUACAGAGCAUUUAUCACCACAAGCUAAAAGUUCAAGAUGGAAAUGAGCACUGUGAAGUUACUGAUGGCUUGCCAGAAAAAUAUGCUCCUUAACCCUUUCAAUACGAUGACGCCUACGUAGGCGUCAUGAAGCCCCAGUAGCAUAUACGAUGACGCCUACGUAGGCGUCAUAUUUCUAUUCUGUUUCUUCUUUUAUUGAGUUGUCCCGUACUUUGUGUUGGUUACUAAGUAAAGACGCCGUAUGCUGUCCUUGAAAUCCUAUUGCUCCUCCCACCAUCCUUGUUCCCACCAAUCACAAAAAAUGAGCUACAGUAUGCACCGCCUUCUUCCCGCCUUGUGUCUAAAAUUAGGA